rnacentral:rRNA from 1 species
AACGAACGCUGGCGGCAUGCCUAACACAUGCAAGUCGAACGAGCCCUUCGUGCCUAGUGGCGCACGGGUGUGUAACGCGAGGGAACCUGCCGUUAGGAUCGGAAAAAUUACCUGAAUGGGGUGCUAAUAUCGGUUAAUGUCAUCGGACCUAAGAUGUAUCGCCUUUGGUUGGGCCCGCGUUGGAUUAGCUAGUUGGUAGGGUAAAAGCCUACCAAGGCGACGAUCCAUAGCUGGGCUGAGAGGAUGAUCAGCCACACUGGGACUGAGACACGGACCAGAACCCUACGGAAGGCAGCAGGGGGGAAUAUUGGACGACGGGCGAGAGCCUGAGCCAUCAGGGCCGCGUAGGUGAGUAGGGCGAUAGGAAUGUGAAGCUCUGUGACACGGGAUGAUAAUGACGGUACCGUAAGAAUAAGCGCCGGCUAACUCCGUG